UACGGGGGGAGCAAGCGUUGUUCGGAUUUACUGGGCGUAAAGGGCGCGUAGGCGGCGUGACAAGUCACUUGUGAAAUCUCCGGGCUUAACCCGGGAACUGCGUCCGAUACUGGAAGGCUUGAAUCCGGGAGAGGGAUGCGGAAUUCCAGGUGUAGCGGUGAAAUGCGUAGAUAUCUGGAGGAACACCGGUGGCGAAGGCGGCAUCCUGGACCGGCAUUGACGCUGAGGCGCGAAAGCCAGGGGAGCAAACGGG
rnacentral:rRNA from 1 species